AUUUCCCACAUUCCUUUCUGAGUCAGGUAGAAAUGUUUGAGGGCCAGUGGGACUGACAAUAGCUGUUCUAGGAGGUCAGACAGGAAGCGGAAAGGCAAGGCUGGCUGGUUUCUGGAGGAAAAGAAGCUGGUCCUCAGAGCCCUCCAGCCUCCUGGCGCUGCUAGGGGAACUAUCCCGUCGAAUUACUUAGAAUCGUAUCUCUACUGUGCCCUGCUGUUAAUUGCCAGCCCAGCCCCGAGCAGAACUCAGACCCACAGCUGAGAAUGGAGCUGUCUGUCUUUCUGACCCUCCUGAUUGUUUUGUUAUUGCUAAUGGGCUGAUUUCCAGUUACGUAACCUCCUCUCUGUUAGAUGAAAUCUCAUUUCACUGUGCUGUGCGCAUCGGGUCUGGUUCACGUUGAUCUACCUGAGAGGAGCUGGGAACAUGCUGUUUCUCAUCAUUUUCACCCAGCAAGAGAACUGGAGAGAGAGAGCUACACCCAAACCAAUUAUGGUCAGGCCCUCUGGGCUGUUACAUAAUAUUUCAGGAGACAGUGGAGUGAAGCGGACCUCGGCGUCCCAGAGGUAUUCUGCCAAGGCAGUGUGCUCUCCUUGCUUGGAAGUCUUGGAAGCCCCCUACCACCUCUGAGAAGAUUUUUCCAGACAAAACCCAGAUCUGCUUUAGUGACUUCAGAAGAAAGAGGUUUUUGAAGGAGGAUGAGAAGCCGAUAGCCAACGGUAUGUGUGUGAAAACACAUGGCAGAUGUGUGCUCUCCAGUGUUCUGUCUCAGCUGAUGGUCAGAGAGCCUUGGGCCACCUCCACCUCCUCCUCCUUCCUCUCACUGUCCUUCCACCAUGCCAUCUCUAUCAGUUCAGUUCCCAA
rnacentral:lncRNA from 1 species